rnacentral:rRNA from 1 species
AUUGAACGCUGGCGGCAGGCCUAACACAUGCAAGUCGAACGAGUGGCGGACGGGUGAGUAAUGUCUGGGAAACUGCCCGCUGGAGGGGGAUAACUACUGGAAACGGUAGCUAAUACCGCAUACCAUCGGAUGUGCCCAGAUGGGAUUAGCUAGUAGGUGGGGUAACGGCUCACAUAGCCGACGAUCCCUAGCUGGUCUGAGAGGAUGACCAGCCACACUUGAAAUGAGACACGGUCCAGAUUCCUACGGGAGGCAGCAGUGGGGAAUAUUGCACAAUGGGCGCAAGCCUGAUGCAGCCAUGCCGCGUGUAUGAAGAAGGCCUUCGGGUUGUAAAGUACUUUCAGCUGGGAGGCGUUACCCGCAGAAGAAGCACCGGCUAACUCCGUGCCAGCAGCCGCGGUAAUUC